UUGAGGCACAGGAAGGGAAAGAAAACCACAGUGAUGAGUUCCCACUACCUGUUACAUCCAUGUCCAGCUCCUCCCCGAUUCUUAAGGCCCUCAGGCUCUGGUGUUGCCCACUGUCCCUAAUGCUCCCGGGGAACCUUCUGUUCAGUGUCUGAGCCUCUGUCAGCAUGUCAUGUGAAUUCCUACCUCCAAGUCCUGCUCGCAGUGUUCAUCCUGCCUAAUACCAUUUUCUAAAACCCAGUUCUGGACUUAACCUCCACCCUGACUGGCCACAAUUUCCAGUGAUCUCUGGCUUUUCCAAGCUCUACAUCAAGUUGUCUCACACCACAGAACCUGGUGCUUGAUCUAGGGCUCUGCUUCUAAAUUAGCUCACUAAUUUUCCAGUGCUCAGCACACACGUGUUUUCUCUUGAGGAGUCUUUCUCCAACCCCCUUACACUUUAUUUAGGGUACCAUUUACUUGCCUGCCCAUGGUUACUAUAGAAAAUUGGAGGUCUUUUUGUCUUAGUAAAAUGAAACAGAACAAUAGUAGUUGAUUCACAUUCUGUUAUCCCUGAUAAAAGAGAGCCCCUCUCAGGAAAGGGGCCCAUGACCAUUCCUCUGCAGGACUCAGAGCCCAGCUCUAGUUUGAAGUGAGGCUGGGAUGGUUUGCUGCCCUCACAUUUUUAGGCCACCCUUUUUUUGUGGUAUCUUGACACUGUGAACUUCUUGGAAAUUAUAGUUAAAUGUUUCUAAAAGUGGCUGUUUUAUGUCUGUCUGCAAGAAGUCCUUCAUAAGGACAUGGGUUGUGUGAUCUGUUUAAGUAAUGUAUUCCUUCAUCUAAACUGGAAUAUAGUAAGUGCUUAAUUAAUGUUCA